AGAGUUUGAUCCUGGCUCAGAUUGAACGCUGGCGGCAGGCCUAACACAUGCAAGUCGAGCGGUAGCACAGAGAGCUUGCUCUCGGGUGACGAGCGGCGGACGGGUGAGUAAUGUCUGGGAAACUGCCUGAUGGAGGGGGAUAACUACUGGAAACGGUAGCUAAUACCGCAUAACGUCGCAAGACCAAAGUGGGGGACCUUCGGGCCUCAUGCCAUCAGAUGUGCCCAGAUGGGAUUAGCUAGUAGGUGGGGUAACGGCUCACCUAGGCGACGAUCCCUAGCUGGUCUGAGAGGAUGACCAGCCACACUGGAACUGAGACACGGUCCAGACUCCUACGGGAGGCAGCAGUGGGGAAUAUUGCACAAUGGGCGCAAGCCUGAUGCAGCCAUGCCGCGUGUGUGAAGAAGGCCUUCGGGUUGUAAAGCACUUUCAGCGGGGAGGAAGGCGUUAAGGUUAAUAACCUUGGCGAUUGACGUUACCCGCAGAAGAAGCACCGGCUAACUCCGUGCCAGCAGCCGCGGUAAUACGGAGGGUGCAAGCGUUAAUCGGAAUUACUGGGCGUAAAGCGCACGCAGGCGGUCUGUCAAGUCGGAUGUGAAAUCCCCGGGCUCAACGUGGGAACUGCAUUCGAAACUGGCAGGCUAGAGUCUUGUAGAGGGGGGUAGAAUUCCAGGUGUAGCGGUGAAAUGCGUAGAGAUCUGGAGGAAUACCGGUGGCGAAGGCGGCCCCCUGGACAAAGACUGACGCUCAGGUGCGAAAGCGUGGGGAGCAAACAGGAUUAGAUACCCUGGUAGUCCACGCCGUAAACGAUGUCGAUUUGGAGGUUGUGCCCUUGAGGCGUGGCUUCCGGAGCUAACGCGUUAAAUCGACCGCCUGGGGAGUACGGCCGCAAGGUUAAAACUCAAAUGAAUUGACGGGGGCCCGCACAAGCGGUGGAGCAUGUGGUUUAAUUCGAUGCAACGCGAAGAACCUUACCUGGUCUUGACAUCCACAGAACUUUCCAGAGAUGGAUUGGUGCCUUCGGGAACUGUGAGACAGGUGCUGCAUGGCUGUCGUCAGCUCGUGUUGUGAAAUGUUGGGUUAAGUCCCGCAACGAGCGCAACCCUUAUCCUUUGUUGCCAGCGGUUCGGCCGGGAACUCAAAGGAGACUGCCAGUGAUAAACUGGAGGAAGGUGGGGAUGACGUCAAGUCAUCAUGGCCCUUACGACCAGGGCUACACACGUGCUACAAUGGCAUAUACAAAGAGAAGCGACCUCGCGAGAGCAAGCGGACCUCAUAAAGUAUGUCGUAGUCCGGAUUGGAGUCUGCAACUCGACUCCAUGAAGUCGGAAUCGCUAGUAAUCGUAGAUCAGAAUGCUACGGUGAAUACGUUCCCGGGCCUUGUACACACCGCCCGUCACACCAUGGGAGUGGGUUGCAAAAGAAGUAGGUAGCUUAACCUUCGGGAGGGCGCUUACCACUUUGUGAUUCAUGACUGGGGUGAAGUCGUAACAAGGUAACCGU
rnacentral:rRNA from 1 species